AUUGAACGCUGGCGGCAGGCUUAACACAUGCAAGUCGAGCGGAGUGAUGGUGCUUGCACUAUCACUUAGCGGCGGACGGGUGAGUAAUGCUUAGGAAUCUGCCUAUUAGUGGGGGACAACAUCUCGAAAGGGAUGCUAAUACCGCAUACGUCCUACGGGAGAAAGCAGGGGAUCACUUGUGACCUUGCGCUAAUAGAUGAGCCUAAGUCGGAUUAGCUAGUUGGUGGGGUAAAGGCCUACCAAGGCGACGAUCUGUAGCGGGUCUGAGAGGAUGAGCCGCCAAACUGGGACUGAGACACGGCCCAGACUCCUACGGGAGGCAGCAGUGGGGAAUAUUGGACAAUGGGGGGAACCCUGAUCCAGCCAUGCCGCGUGUGUGAAGAAGGCCUUAUGGUUGUAAAGCACUUUAAGUGAGGAGGAGGCUUACCUAGUUAAUACCUGGGAUAAGUGGACGUUACUCGCAGAAUAAGCACCGGCUAACUCUGUGCCAGCCGCCGCAGUAA
rnacentral:rRNA from 1 species